UUGUAACAGACAGAGGGAAUUAUUGAACAGAGAAACAAUAUUGCUGUGCCAUAUUAUUCAAAAUGUAUGCGUCUGCACUAUGCAGACUGGCAGAAGUCCGGUAUUCGAGUGAACCAGAGCAGAGUAAAUUGUAGCAGACCAGCAAAAACGUGUUUUAUUCCACUUAAAAUUAUUCCAGUAUUAGACAUCAAUAGAAUUAUUAGUAUAUUUAAUUGGGUGGUGGUUUUAAAAUUGACUAUUGCUGUAUGUCUGUUGUUUUCUAUAAGGGCCGUUGUUAUGCAUACCAUAACAAAAAAGGCAGGAAUACUGAGGCAGCUACGACGUGGAUGUCUACAACUUCUUUAAGAUGCAGGCCCCAAAGACGUCCCAGUGUGAUGCAAAGGCUGUCCAGCAGGCUCACAGACAUCUCCUGUCAACUGAAAGAGAAGCCUUUAAAAUAGUUGUCCAUUUUGACCACACUGUCUGCUUCCCAUUUCUUAGUGCCUGUACGAAAACAGUGACUUUUCCACCUCAAGUCUUUUAAGGAGUUUUAAAAACAGUUAUUUUAAUUUCUCUGAAUUGUGGUUCAGAAUUUUACAGAAUCUAAUGCACUUGACUCUGUGUUUCAGAGAUCUUUGCAAAACCAUCAGUCUUUUGUACAAAACACAUUCAAUGGUCAAACAUUAAAAAAUGAAGCUUUACAAAAUA